CGACGGCAGCACGGGAGCAAUCCUGGUGGCGAGUGGCGAACGGGUGAGUAAUGUAUCGGAACGUACCUUUCAGUGGGGGAUAACGUAGCGAAAGUUACGCUAAUACCGCAUAUUCUGUGAGCAGGAAAGCAGGGGAUCGCAAGACCUUGCGCUGAUUGAGCGGCCGAUAUCAGAUUAGCUAGUUGGUGAGGUAAAGGCUCACCAAGGCGACGAUCUGUAGCGGGUCUGAGAGGAUGAUCCGCCACACUGGAACUGAGACACGGUCCAGACUCCUACGGGAGGCAGCAGUGGGGAAUUUUGGACAAUGGGGGCAACCCUGAUCCAGCCAUGCCGCGUGAGUGAAGAAGGCCUUCGGGUUGUAAAGCUCUUUCAGCCGGGAAGAAAUCACAUGGGUUAAUACCCUGUGUGGAUGACGAUACCGGAAUAAGAAGCACCGGCUAACUACGUGCCAGCAGCCGCGGUAAUACGUAGGGUGCGAGCGUUAAUCGGAAUUACUGGGCGUAAAGCGUGCGCAGGCGGUUUGUUAAGAUAGGCGUGAAAUCCCCGGGCUCAACCUGGGAACUGCGUUUAUGACUGGCAGGCUAGAGUAUGGCAGAGGGGGGUGGAAUUCCACGUGUAGCAGUGAAAUGCGUAGAGAUGUGGAGGAACACCGAUGGCGAAGGCAGCCCCCUGGGCCAAUACUGACGCUCAUGCA
rnacentral:rRNA from 1 species